rnacentral:rRNA from 1 species
AUGCGACUAGCCGCCAUGGAGACCUCCCCUCGCCUUAAGCUCGUCUCGCUCGCUCUCCUACUAGCCUCGUUUCCCUUUCCCUGUGCCACGGCAGCGCUACCCCCUUCCCUCCUAGAAGAACAGGCCGGAGCCCUCCUCGCCUGGAAAGCUACCAUACACAACCCCCCAGCCCAGCUCCGAUCUUGGGGAAACACCACAACCCAGCCAUGUGGCUGGUACGGCAUCAAGUGUGGCAAGCAACAAGCGAGGCACCAAGAGCAAGAGGUGGUGAUCACCGAGAUCUCUCUCCGGGGGUUGUGGCUGAGAGCGAGGCUGGAGGACAUCAACUUCACGGCGUUGCAUACUCUCACGAGUAUCCGACUACCCUACAAUCAGAUAAGAGGCCCCUUUCCACCCGCUUUAGCAUCAAACUUGCCAAACCUCCGCCACCUCCUGCUCCAGGGGAAUGGACUCUCCGGUCAAAUACCGAGACAAAUAAAACACCUGGAGAGUCUCGUUGGGUUGGACUUGUCAAACAACCACUUGUCUGGUCCUAUACCCAUUGAACUAGGCUACCUAAACAAGUUGAAAAUGUUAGAUCUUUCCACCAACAACCUCACAGGCCCAAUUCCAAGAAGUCUAGGGAAUUGCAGUAAGCUCACCAUCUUGUACCUUGAUGGUAAUCAGUUAUCUGGACAUCUUCCUCGAGAACUAGGUUACAUCGUGAAACUACAGAAGUUAGCACUUAGCAGCAACAAACUCAUGGGUUCCAUCCCCAAUACCUUUGGGAGUUUGAUUAACAUCACUGGAUUGUACCUAUGGGAUAACCAACUAUCCGGACAUGUUCCUCCAGAACUAAGUUCCUUGGUGAAUCUGGAAGACUUGGAACUUGCCAAAAACAGACUCACGGGUUCCAUCCCUGGUUCCUUUGGAAAUUUGACCAAGCUCACUACCUUGUAUCUUUAUGGUAACCAGUUCUCUGGACAUGUUCCUCCAGAACUAGGUUCCCUUGUGAAUUUGCAAGUGUUGUCGCUUCACAACAACCAAUUAAUCGGUUUCAUCCCCAAUACCUUUGGAAACCUGAUCAAUCUCACUGCCUUGUACCUAUAUCAUAACCAAUUAUCCGGGCAUAUUCCUCAAGAACUAGGUUCCCUAGUAAAUCUAGAAUUGUUGGAUCUUAGCAACAACACACUCAUGGGAUCCAUCCCCAAUACCUUUGUAAAUUUGACCAAAAUCACUACCUUGUCCCUAUAUGAUAACCAACUCUCCGGACAUGUUCCUCGAGCACUAGGUUUCUUGGUGAAUUUUGAACUUUUGUUGCUUCAAAAAAACCAACUCACGGGUUCCAUUCCCGAUACCUUUGGAAAUUUGAACAAGCUCACUACCUUGUACCUUUUCCGUAACCAACUCUCUGGAUAUGUUCCUAAAGAAUUAGGUUCCUUGGUGAGUCUAGAAGACUUGCAACUUUACAAAAAUAAACUCUUGGGUUCCAUCCCCAAUACAUUUGGAAAUUUGACCAAGCUCACUACGUUGUACCUAUAUGAUAACCAACUUUCCGGGCAUGUUCCCCGAGAACUAGGGUGCUUGGUGAAUCUAGAAGACUUGGAACUUCAUAGAAAUAAACUCUUUGGUUCCAUCCCCAAUGCCUUGGGAAACUUGACCAAACUUACUACCUUGAACCUAGGGGGAAACCAACUUUCAGGGGGCAUUCCUCAAGAACUAGGCUACUUGGUGAAUCUAGAAGACUUGGAACUUGACAAAAACAAACUCAUGGGUUGCAUCCCCAAUACCUUUGGAAAUAUGACAAAGCUCAAUACCUUAUUCCUUGAUGAUAACCAAUUCUCCGGACAUGUUCCACAAGAAAUUGGCACCUUAAUGGAUCUCAAAUAUAUACAAUUUGAUGGUAACAAUCUCUCUGGUCCCUUGCCACCAAGCUUGUGUGUUGGCGGCAUGCUCAAGACAUUGAUCGCAUUUGACAACAAUCUCAAUGGGCCUUUGCCGUCAAGUUUGAUAAACUGCAGAAGCCUAGUUAGAGUUCGUCUUGAAAGGAAUCAGAUAGAAGGAGAUAUUUCUAAGAUGGGGAUUUAUCCAAAUCUUGUCUACAUGGAUAUGAGAUCAAACAACCUGUUUGGUCAACUAUCUUUUCUCUGGGGUGAUUGCCAUAAUCUUCAGAUGCUACGAAUUUCAAACAACAACCUUACGGGGGAAAUACCCGCAAGUAUGGGGCAACUAUCUCAACUAGGGUUACUUGAUCUUUCAUCAAACAAGCUUGAAGGAGAGAUUCCAAGUGCACUAGGAAAUCUGAAAAAAUUAUUCAACUUGAGCCUCGCGGACAAUUUGUUGCAUGGAAGUAUUCCGCAAGAAAUUGGAGCACUAUCCAGUCUGGAAUUACUGGAUUUGUCAUCAAAUAACCUAAAUGGUUUGGUACAAUAUUCAAUUGAGCAUUGUUUGAAACUUCGCCUUUUAAAGCUGAAUCACAAUAACUUCAUUGGAAACAUCCAUGCCGAGCUAGGGUCAUUGCGCAAUUUAUACGAAUUGGAUUUAAGUGACAAUUCAUUUAUUGGGGCAAUACCAAGCCAACUUAGUGGUUUGAGCAUGCUAGAAAAUCUGAAUCUUUCACAUAAUGAACUAAAUGGCUCCAUCCCAUCAUCAUUUCAGAGUAUGGAAAGCUUGACAUCCAUUGAUGUAUCUUAUAAUGAAUUGGAAGGGCCAGUCCCGAACAGUAAGCUCUUCCAACAAGCUCCAAACCAGCGGUUCAUGCAUAAUAAGAUGCUAUGUGGUGUGGUGAAUGGAUUACCCCCUUGCAAUAGUGUAACUCAGAGCAGAGGCAAGUGGAAAGGAUACAAAAUACUUGUACUAGCUCCUGUUCUGGCUCUGAUAUGUCUUAUUCUUAUUGUGAUGAUAUUGAUGUUCUGGCGUGAAAGAAAGAAAACCAAGGAAACCAACAAUGAUAAAGUAACACAAGAAAAAGUCUUCUCUAUUUGGAGUUUUGAUGGGGCAAAUGUGUUCAAGCAAAUAGUUGAAGCAACCAACCAUUUUAGCGAGAUGCAUUGCAUAGGAACCGGGGGAUAUGGAUCUGUCUAUAAAGCUAUACUUGCAACAGGCGAAAUAUUUGCAGUGAAGAAGAUACACAUGAUAGAAGAUGAGUGUUGCAUGAACAAGCAGUUGUUCAAUCGUGAAGUUGAGGCAUUGGUGCAGAUUCGUCAUCGAAACAUCGUACAACUUUUAGGUUAUUGUUCCUCUAGCCAAGGCAGGUUCCUUAUCUAUGAAUAUAUGGAGAGAGGAGACUUGGCAAAAAUGUUGAAGGACAAUGAAAGGGCAAUUGAAUUGGAUUGGAGAAGGCGGAUAUGUAUUGUAUUGGAUGUGGUUCAUGCUUUGGCAUACAUGCACCAUGACUGUUCAUCAACAAUAGUCCAUAGAGACAUAACAAGCAACAAUAUUUUGCUUGAUCAAGAAUUUAGAGCCUGCAUCUCUGACUUUGGUACGGCUAAAAUACUCAAUAUUUAUGGCCAAAAUCUCACAAGGCUAGCUGGGACGAAAGGCUACCUUGCCCCAGAGCUGGCAUAUACAGAAAACGUGACGGAGAAAUGUGAUGUAUACAGCUUCGGAGUGCUCGUUUUGGAGCUAUUUAUGGGAUCUCAUCCAGGCGAUUUGCUCUCAUCCCUCUCGUUGACCACCAAGAACAAUUUUGUGUGCAUGAAGGAUCUGCUGGACUCCAGGCUUGCCCUCCCGGAUGCUGAAUCCGCCAUAGAAAUAUACUGCAUGCUCAGUGUCGCAGUUCGGUGCCUGGAGCCGCUUCCAUCCCGCAGGCCAACGGCACGACGUGCCAGCGACGAGCUAUCUACGAUUAAAGCUUGUGAAGAUCGUGCUGAUUAUUUGCACGCCGGCAUCACCUUUCCUGUGAUGUAG